rnacentral:rRNA from 1 species
UACAGAGGUCCCAAGCGUUGUUCGGAUUUACUGGGCGUAAAGGGUGCGUAGGCGGUUGGGUAAGUCUGAUGUGAAAUCUCACAGCUUAACUGUGAAACUGCAUUGGAUACUAUCCGGCUAGAGGAAUGGAGGGGAGACUGGAAUACUUGGUGUAGCAGUGAAAUGCGUAGAUAUCAAGUGGAACACCAGUGGCGAAGGCGAGUCUCUGGACGUUUCCUGACGCUGAGGCACGAAAGCCAGGGGAGCAAACGGG